rnacentral:rRNA from 1 species
AGAGUGAACGCUGGCGGUAGGCCUAACACAUGCAAGUCGAACGGCAGCACGGUAAGAGCUUGCUCUUAUGGGUGGCGAGUGGCGGACGGGUGAGGAAUACAUCGGAAUCUACCUUUUGGUGGGGGAUAACGUAGGGAAACUUACGCUAAUACCGCAUACGCCCUUCGGGGGAAAGCCGGGGACCAGCAAUGGCCUGGUGCUGAUAGAUGAGCCGAUGUCGGAUUAGCUAGUUGGUGAGGUAAUGGCUCACCAAGGCAACGAUCCGUAGCUGGUCUGAGAGGAUGAUCAGCCACACUGGAACUGAGACACGGUCCAGACUCCU